AACUGUUGAGUGCAUCCAAGAGUUAUCAUUACGUUGUCUUUAAGUCUGAAGGGCGAAAUCGAAAGAGACCUUAUAACAGACACAGACAGACAUUGGAUUUUGAUGGAUCAAGCUCUUCAAAACCUAGACGAUGACUGUAGCACCAAGGACUCUACCUAUCGAAAAUAUGGCCAUUGUGGAUUACAACGAGUUCCUGUCACCAGCUGUAUGGAUCAGUCGACGUACCGUCAAGAAGUUGCUGCGAAUUGAUGAUGAUGUUGAUGGGAUAAUACCGGUGCUGCUGGAAGUGGAUGUGAUGGGGGCAAAUGAGACCGAGAGUGAACGGACUGAGCCGUUGGCAGUAACAGGGAGUCUGACUGUUAGCCCAGGGACAAAGUGGAGCCAUGCCAACCUGUGACACGAGACGCAAAACACAGAAGCUACAGUAUGUUCGAUUCAGUUCAGGUUUACUGAAUGGGAAUGACGGCCUAAAAAUGAAGAAUCCAUGGACCCUUCUACACAAACACAACUUGGCUGCAAUAAAGUGCUUCAGAAAUAGUUGAGAAAUGACCCACGGGACACUAAAUCACCGCGCAACGCAGAAGUACGGUGGGGCUCGGCCGGAAACCUCAGCAAAAGGCGCAUCGAGCAAGAGCUGUACUGUGUUGACCCAGUCUGAGACCCGAGAGGAAACGCGUGUCAGACACUUUUUGUCAAGUGUACUGUAAUUCUCCUUAGCCUCUCGAGUUUGCCGCAUGAUACUGCACAUAUGUGAGUAUUAUAUUGGAAAGUGUCGCUAACUAUUGAUUAGGAUAUGAAGAUAUUUAUUUUGAAAUAUAUGAUGUCCUUCCAUUGCAAUUCAGUGUGUGAAUAAAAGUAUUCUAUCACCAAUAUCAUAUAUUUGACGUACCUGAACUAGUAUGGCAUUUUAACCUGAGGAAAAAAAAUGAUAAUUGUAGGAUAUUUCCAUAACCAUUGCCGUGUACGCUUGUUUUGCUAAUUACUGUAGCCUAGUACACAUUGAAUGUAUUUUGUGAAUAAAUAACUCUGUAAUUAAAUUCUGACGAGAAGACGUGAAUUUGUUUGAAUCAUAACAGCCCGGUGUGAGGAAAAAUAAGCCUCUGUUUAUGUUCAUUUAUUGGAAUUAAGGAAACGUCGACAUGCAUU